rnacentral:rRNA from 1 species
AAAGGUGUGCUAAUACCGCAUAAUCUCUCAGGAGAAAAGCAGGGGAUCGCAAGACCUUGCGCUUUAGGAGCGGCCGAUGCCUGAUUAGCUUGUUGGUAAGGUAAAAGCUUACCAAGGCUUCGAUCAGUAGCUGGUCUGAGAGGACGACCAGCCACACUGGGACUGAGACACGGCCCAGACUCCUACGGGAGGCAGCAGUGGGGAAUUUUGGACAAUGGGGGAAACCCUGAUCCAGCCAUGCCGCGUGAGUGAAGAAGGCCUUCGGGUUGUAAAGCUCUUUCAGCCGGAACGAAACGGUUACGAUUAAUACUCGUAAUUAAUGACGGUACCGGCAGAAGAAGUACCGGCUAACUACGUGCCAGCAGCCGCGGUAAUACGUAGGGUGCGAGCGUUAAUCGGAAUUACUGGGCGUAAAGGGUCCGCAGGUUGUUUUGUAAGUCAGAUGUGAAAUCCCCGGGCUUAACCUGGGAACUGCGUCUGAAACUACAAGGCUAGAGUAUGGCAGAGGGGGGUGGAAUUCCGCGUGUAGCAGUGAAAUGCGUAGAUAUGUGGAGGAACACCGAUGGCGAAGGCAGCCCCCUGGGUCAAUACUGACGCUGAGGGACGAAAGCAUGGGGAGCAAACAGGAUUAGAUACCCUGGUAGUCCAUGCCCUAAACGAUGUCAACUAGUUGUCGGGCCUUUACGGGCUUGGUAACGUAGCUAACGCGUGAAGUUGACCGCCUGGGGAGUACGAUCGCAAGAUUAAAACUCAAAUGAAUUGACGGGGACCCGCACAAGCGGUGGAUUAUGUGGAUUAAUUCGAUGCAACGCGAAAAACCUUACCUACCCUUGACAUGUAUCGAAGCCCGCAGAAAAGCGGAGGUGCCCGAAAGGGAACGAUAACACAGGUGCUGCAUGGCUGUCGUCAGCUCGUGUCGUGAGAUGUUGGGUUAAGUCCCGCAACGAGCGCAACCCUUGUCAUUAAUUGCCAUCAUUUAGUUGGGCACUUUAAUGAGACUGCCGGUGACAAACCGGAGGAAGGUGGGGAUGACGUCAAGUCCUCAUGGCCCUUA